AAACUAUGAUGAGUCUAUCCCGAACCUGAGUCACUGAUGACAAACUCUUUAUGGAUCUGACUUCUGAGUU